UCUAUAAAACAUACUGCUGUCGGGUUCAAACAGCAUAUUUUUUUUAUUGCUCAGUGUUCUGCAAGGGUAUAAGAAGUUUCUUACUUUGCGUCUUUAUUGUCCUUAUGUACAAGUGUAAGUUACAAACUCACAGAGCAGCUAAUGUGGAAACUAUGCACACAUGUAUACCGUUAAAAUAAAUAUAAAAAUCAAAGGAAAUAAGCCGUAAAAAUGUCUUAAAAAACAGUUUUGUUUUCUUUCUUUCUUUCUUUUUUUUUUUGCUGAAAUAAAUCAAAAUUCCUAAAACUCACACCAAGAAAUAAAAAAUAAAAAUUUACACAUACACUUUGAUUAAUCAAUCCAGCCCUACUGGGCCCACACAGACAUGCAGAUACACUAUGUUGCAUCCAGGUUUUAUUUGUUACAAACCACGGGGCGAUGUGUGUCCUAAACAUUCAACGACUUGCUGUGGUUUGGAACAGGUAAACUAUCAAUAAAAAAAUUUAAAAAAUUUUAAACAAAGGCUGCGUUUUAGUUGAGUUCUUGUAUCAGGAUGUACGGGUUUGUUGCUUUAAAUGCUGCAAAAUUCUGCACCGAGGGGGGGGACAGACAAAAGAAUAUUAAAAGGGCAGAAGUAGACAAACAUACAACUGUGUGUGUGUGCAAAUAUGAUUAGAAUCCAUUAAAAACAAAAAAACCAAACAAAAAAACAGUCCAGUAACUAUUCGGUAAAUAGAAAGAAGUUUUAGAUAUUACAUUUGAGCCUGCAUAUGGAUACAAACAAACAAGAAAAAAAGAAAUUCUCUCAAACUGCACAAGAACGUUCUGAACUCAUCUGAUAUGAAACCGUUUCAUGGCUGCAAAUAAAUGUCUGCAUAUGAAAUCCAAAUUUGACGAGAGUAUGUAAAAAUCAGUAAUCUGUAAAACAUAAAUUCAAACGUCCAUCCGGUUAACAACUCAAGACUUGAACCAAGCUUGACGCAUAAGAAAAAGAAAACGACCUACGCUGUUCAGAUCUUUAGUUUGUGACCUACAGGUUAAUAUUUGGAUCAUGGCCGCCGACGAGGGAGAGAAGGGGCUCCUCAAUUUUAGGUUCUUCACAUAUUAGUCUAAUGUAAUAAUAAUAAUAAUAAUAAUAACAAUAAUUUAAAAAAAGCUAACUUCACCUGAGAAUGCAAAGAGGUCUGUGAAAGACAUUAACAUGCGUGCAAUUAAAACCGAAAAAGAAAACAAGCAACAAUAUACAAAAUAGCUAUAUCUUUGUACAUUUAUACUUAAAAAUUACAGGUCUCCAGAUACUUUCUAAAUCUGCCUUUUAGCUAACGUGGCUGCACACACACACACACACACACACACACACACACACACACACGCACGCACGCACGCACACACGCACGCAGGGCCUUGCAAAAGAUGCCAUAAUGUCGUAACCUUUGAACUUUUCCCACAUCUUGGCUUGGUUUAACUAGGGCUGGGCGAUAUUUCUUCAAAAUAAAAUCCCACUUUUCUUUUUUCCUUUGUCAUAACUGAACAAUUUUUUUCCUGCGUUUUUUUUUUUUUCCUUAAAAAAAAAAAGGAAUUGAAUAUUUUCAAAAAGUGGCUUUUAUUUCAGUCGUGCCUUCUGAAAGUCGUACGACGGCGCGUCAAGGCGAUACGGGAAUGUUUGUUUAAUUUGAAGACUGCAGUCACUAUAUUAGAAGGAUAAAGAGGCAAUUUUACCAGAAGAAUGUCUUAAAAUUAAUUUUUAAAAAAAUAAAUGGAUCAUCACCCAGCACUUUAUGCACUUCUUCACGUUUUAUUGGGAAUUUUGUGAUCAACCAGAAUAAAUAAAAUGGUACUAAAUUGGAAAGUGAAAGCAAAAUGGCUUUGCGAAGA